UUGGUUUCUGUUUUGUAUAUUGCUUUGAGAUUUUGUUUGGUAUUUUUUAUGAUAAAAUGCUAGCUCUUUUUUUCUUAAAUAAAAAAGAAAGAUGGGUCCCAGUGUUGUUGUUUUUAUCCUAUUCAUAACCUUCUUUCUCUUUAGUACAUAGGAAGAAGGAAUGGUUGAAGAUUUCUAUCGGCUACCAUUAAAGGAAAAUAUAAGGAGGCCUGCGCCCCACAAGUGCCUUACUUUGACCAUCAGGGAAUGCUUGCUUACUUGAGCCAAUGUAAGGACCAGCAAAAUCAUCUCUACUGCCUCAGAGAUAAAAUGCGAACCAGGCACAACUGCGGUGAUCUGAACAAUGGUCAAAGCGAUACCAAAGUAUGCAGUGCUGAAAUUAACAACCCAUUCAAAUUGCAUGUGCCUUGUGCCAGAAUAUUAUGGUCUUUGGUUUGACUAUAUACAGCAUUUAUUAUCUCUACAGUUCAUUACUUAUUUGGUGUGAGUGGGGCCUGUUUCAUUGGCAUUUCCACCGAAUGUGCCAACUUUAAGGAAGGCAAAAAAUCAUGCAUGGAUGAAUGUAGGUUAGAACAUUCUUUGUCAGAUACACACCACGUUCUUGAUGUGAGUUACAUUGAUUGGAGGAGUCUGAUACUAUCCUUUUGGUUGUGUCCCACCAGACUGCCUACACAUGAAUAUUCAUAUUUGUAUUCCUACAGGCAAAGGUGGAGUCCACUUAGAGUUUGCUUUUACUUAGCAACCAAGGAAUCUCUUUCUUUUCAAAAAUGUAAAUGGUAACAGGAAAAUAGCAUGCAUUUAUAAACUAAAUAUAUUGCAAAGAGUUGUUGGUGUCUUUUUUUUAAAAAAUCCGCUUUGAACUAAUAAUAUGUAACUUGUAGUUUUUAUAUUCUGCAUUAUACUCUGCCCUGAAAUCUACUCUGAUGAAGGAUUGGCUAUAAAUAUGCCUAAUAAUUU